UACGGAGGAUCCAAGCGUUAUCCGGAUUUAUUGGGUUUAAAGGGUGCGUAGGCGGCUUAUUAAGUCAGGGGUGAAAGACGGUGGCUCAACCAUCGCAGUGCCUUUGAUACUGAUGAGCUUGAAUGAACUAGAGGUAGGCGGAAUGUGACAAGUAGCGGUGAAAUGCAUAGAUAUGUCACAGAACACCGAUUGCGAAGGCAGCUUACUAUGGUUUAAUUGACGCUGAGGCACGAAAGCGUGGGGAUCAAACAGG
rnacentral:rRNA from 1 species